rnacentral:rRNA from 1 species
UACAGAGGGGGCAAGCGUUGUUCGGAAUUACUGGGCGUAAAGGGCGCGUAGGCGGCCUGUUAAGUCGAACGUGAAAUCCCCGGGCUCAACCCGGGAACUGCGUCCGAUACUGGCAGGCUUGAAUUCGGGAGAGGGAUGUGGAAUUCCAGGUGUAGCGGUGAAAUGCGUAGAUAUCUGGAGGAACACCGAUGGCGAAGGCAGGUCUCUGGGCUGACACUGACGCUCAUGCACGAAAGCGUGGGGAGCAAACAGG